rnacentral:tRNA from 1 species
GAGAAAGGUCUAGAGACACGAAGAACUGCUAACUCUUCAUUCCAUGGUUCAAAUCCAUGGCUAGCUCA